rnacentral:rRNA from 1 species
AAGAAUUACGUGCGCACAUUGCAAUUGAAAUGAAAAAAGAGCAGUAAUAUCGAGUUCCUCUCCAUGAUUUUGUAAUAUUGAAUCCAUAGUCGAUUACAUGCCUUGGGCAACACGUGCUAAAAUGGACGAGGCAAAGGGUCUCGAUCUCACAAGGGUGAGCUAACUCCAAAAACUUGUCCUCAGUUCGGAUUGUAGGCCGCAACUCGCCUCCAUAAGGUCGGAAUCGUUAGUAAUCAUCUUUCAACCAAAUGGCAGUGAAUUAGUUCUCGAGCCUUGUACGCACCGUCCAUCACACCAAGGGAGAUGGUCAUGCCAUAUCAUUGCCUUAAUCGCAAAUAGAGGGAAGUCAAAGGCAGGGCUAGUGAUUGGAGUAAAGUUAUAACAAGGUAAUCGUACUGAAAGGUGUGGCUG